GCGAACGCUGGCGGCAGGCUUAACACAUGCAAGUCGAGCGGGCGUAGCAAUACGUCAGCGGCAGACGGGUGAGUAACGCGUGGGAACAUACCUUUGGUUCGGAACAACACAGGGAAACUUGUGCUAAUACCGGAUAAGCCCUUACGGGAAGGAUUAUCGCCGAAAGAUUGGCCCGCGUCUGAUUAGCUAGUUGGUGAGGUAACGGCUCACCAAGGCGACGAUCAGUAGCUGGCUGAGAGGAUGAUCAGCCACAUUGGGACUGAGACACGGCCCAAACUCCUACGGGAGGCAGCAGUGGGGAAUAUUGGACAAUGGGCGAAAGCCUGAUCCAGCCAUGCCGCGUGAGUGAUGAAGGACCC
rnacentral:rRNA from 1 species